CAGAAACUCAAAGGAAUUGACGGGGCCCGCACAAGCGGUGGAGUAUGUGGUUUAAUUCGAUGCAACGCGAAGAACUUACCUGGUCUUGACAUCCCGGAGACCCUUAGGAAACUAGGGGGUGCUUCCAUCUGGAAGAAUCUGGAGACAGGUGCUGCAUGGCUGUCGUCAGCUCGUGUCGUGAGAUGUUGGGUUAAGUCCCGCAACGAGCGCAACCCUUGCCUUUAGUUGCCAGCAGUUCGGCUGGGCACUCUAAAGGGACUGCCGGUGUUAAACCGGAGGAAGGUGGGGAUGACGUCAAGUCCUCAUGGCCUUUAUGACCAGGGCUACACACGUACUACAAUGGCCGAUACAAAGGGCAGCGACACUGCGAGGUGAAGCCAAUCCCGUAAAAUCGGUCUCAGUCCGGAUUGGAGUCUGCAACUCGACUCCAUGAAGUUGGAAUCGCUAGUAAUCGUGGAUCAGCAUGCCACGGUGAAUACGUUCCCGGGCCUU
rnacentral:rRNA from 1 species